rnacentral:lncRNA from 1 species
AAAAGUGUGUUAAAUGGACCAUUUAGAAUAAAUAAUUAAAAUAAAAUAUUAAUAUUAAAAAAUUACGAAAAUAAAAAUUAUAUAAAAUUAAAUAAAACGUUAAGAAAAGUGAAAAAUAUUUUUGGGUAAUUUUAUGGACGAACAAAAUAUUUUAAAUAAGAAAAAGAAAUACGAAAAUGGAAGGAUUAAUGGUGAUGAACUU